rnacentral:rRNA from 1 species
UACGAAGGGUGCAAGCGUUAAUCGGAAUUACUGGGCGUAAAGCGCACGUAGGCGGUUAGUUAAGUUGGAUGUGAAAGCCCCGGGCUCAACCUGGGAAUUGCAUUCAAAACUGGCUAACUAGAGUAUGUGAGAGGGGGGUAGAAUUCCAAGUGUAGCGGUGAAAUGCGUAGAGAUUUGGAGGAAUACCAGUGGCGAAGGCGGCCCCCUGGCACAACACUGACGCUCAGGUGCGAAAGCGUGGGGAGCAAACAGG